UACGUAGGGUCCGAGCGUUGUCCGGAAUUACUGGGCGUAAAGAGCUCGUAGGUGGUUUGUCGCGUUGUUCGUGAAAACUCACAGCUCAACUGUGGGCGUGCGGGCGAUACGGGCAGACUAGAGUACUGCAGGGGAGACUGGAAUUCCAGGUGUAGCGGUGAAAUGCGUAGAUAUCUGGAGGAACACCGGUGGCGAAGGCGGCAUCCUGGACCGGCAUUGACGCUGAGGCGCGAAAGCUAGGGGAGCAAACGGG
rnacentral:rRNA from 1 species